ensembl:lncRNA
CCCUUUGCUCCCCACGGCAGAUAUAUCUUAAGGCACCAUGAGAAAAACAGAAGGAGGGAAGUGGGAAGGGGGCAAUAGGUGGGAAAGUCAUGGGAAGGGGGGAAAUGUGUUGCUGGCAAAACUAAUAUGCAUGUUGUGAAGACAAAGCCCUCAUUAGUCAGAGAAGUCUGCAGACUGUAAUGCCAUCCAGGACACCUGUCAGUGCAGGGACAGAGGGGGCUGUUUGAUCCUAAUCUAUUUCUUGCCAGCGUGGCUCAACUUUGUCUCUGUUUGAUCUACCAGAGGUUUUGAUGGCUGAUGCUGUGGCCCACUCUGCAGCCUGCAAGGCUGGAGAUAAGUCUUCAGAAAUACCCAGCUGACCUUGGAAUGAGCUUUGCUUGGAUUUGCUUACAGGUGGUGAUCAAAAAUACCGUGUGACGGCUGCUUAGUGUGAAAUAGAUCCCUUCCAUACAAAAGCACAUCAGUGUGUAUUGCAAAACACAACUUGCCCAGCCGGAGAUGCCAGAGAUGCCAUACCCCAUUCUUGACACCACCAAUGUAAUGGGCUUCUUCAGGCUGCUGAGAAGUGGUUGAGAAGCAGUCUAGUGUUACAGGAGUGCACCCAGUGAGUGCCCAAAGCCCCACUGUCCCUCCUGCCAUUAGGAUUUGUGGCAAUGCACCUCUGAUCUUCUAGACUCUACAUAACAUCCAUUUACAUUGCAUGGUGAAGCAGCUUUGUUUUCCCCUCUUGAAAACUGAAGUUAUUUUGACCCGCUGUCAUAAGAGAUCAGCACUUGACGACAGGCCAACUGUUCGUGCUGCUGAACAGAGAGAUGUUCAAUGGCCUUUUGUAUUUCUCUGUGAUUUGGAAGCGUGUUAAGUCAAGGAAAUGCACAGUGGAUUUUUGCUGAUUGCUGUGCGCAUCAGCACUGGUGGUGCAGAAGUGCUGGGACCAUCUGGUGGGUGUAUGUCAUCCUACAGAGCUGGGCUGGCUGGCAACAGGCACAGAGCUGGUGUGCGAGAAAAAGGGACUUCAUGCUAUGGGGAGAUGAAUUUCCUGGCUCCCCUGCACUGGGAAUUUCGUUAAAGAGAGUCUACUUUGUUCUUGGUUCACAAAGCCAACUGCUGCAAACUGCCACAGGUACGUGUUGUAAUACACUGCUGUUGGCAAAACAGCUGGUGGGUGGCUGAUGAUGGAGAUUCAUGGGGCAGUGUUUUAAGCAGUUCAUGUUCAUGGGGUUUGUGAAUAUGCCUGAAGUUGAUGAUACCUGGUGAGGUAUAAAACAGGCUGCCUAAGGAGGUGGUGGAGUCACCUUCCCUGGAGGUUUUUAAGAAAAGGGUGCAUGUGGCACUGAGGGACGUGGUUAGUGGGCAUGGUGGGGUUGGGUUGAUGGUUGGACUAGAUGAUCUUAGUGGCCUUUUCCAACCAUAAUGAUUCUAUGAUUCAAUGAUCAGAGAUCUGGGUAUUCUAGCUGAUGUUCCUCUGGUGAAACAGAGAUCCAAGGAGAGGGAUCCCUGUAGAGGAAGGAAAUCUGCUCCCUGUUUACCUGCCGAGGAAGGCAUCUCUUUUGGUACUUCUUUUUCUUUCCACAAUGGCAACUUCAUGAAAAUCAGUAAGAGAAGUUUGAGAUAGUACUUAAUGCAAGGAUAUAAAGGUGAGAUGCGUUCACAUGUUCAGAUAAGCUGGAAAUGUUUGCCAUCACCAACACGGUAUUGGUUCCCAACACCUGGAGAACUCUCCUCCCUCUCCCUCUGUGAUUUGGGAAACCUUAUCCAGCCCACAAAGAUAAAGAGAGAUAAUCUGAGCACUGGGAGCAAGAGAAGGAGCACUCAGGUCCUAGGCAGAGAAGAUACCAUCCCACAUCCAUGCUAUAGAUACAAUUUUGGCCUUUAUAAUCUUUACAAGGUUCAAGCAAAUGUCUCCAAAUGCCCCAGACUUUGAUGGUUUCUCUUGCUGGCUUGUCCAAAAAGCAAAUAGACCCAUCAGCUUUGGCGGCGGUUCAAGAGAAGCCAGGGAUGCCAUAUGCGUUCCCAUCCUGGCCACACGUGGGGAUGGUAAUAAAUAAUGGGUUGCAAAUGCAUGUGUUGCUUUCUUGAUUACUUGCUUUACUGUGGGAUCUGCUGUAUUGAUUAAUCUUAAUCUACUUUGAAUGUUAUUUAGAUCUGAAAUUGAGCAGAGUGCAGGGGACGGGGAAACUGCUCUAAUUUUUAGGGAGUAUACUGCAUUUGAUUAAUUUUAUGGCCUGCAUUGACUAAAAGCUUUUAUCCUGGUCUGCUAUCAAUUUAACUCUCCAUGUUUGUCAUUUUUUACUCCUGGGGUCCCACAUAAUUCAGUUUUGCAAAUUGAUUUGAUUGAUGUUUUCUGAUCCUUCAAUAAAGGCUUUUGG